CCUGCGCGGCUGUGGAAGCGAGAGGACACGUUGGACCUGGAGAGGCAAACUUUGCCCGCGCGGGGGCCAGCGCGCAGAGGCUGGCAGCGCUGGAGACCAGCAGCCCCAAGGAUGCUCAACUCGUCGCACAUUCCCCCGGGGGGCGGGAUGGGGAGGACAGACCUCGCUGCCUUCCCAGUCAGCUGACGCCCCGCUUGAUGACCCGCAGGGGUGGAGAGAACUCGCUUCUAAGAUGAGCCCCCGCCAAUUCCUAGUUCAAGUUCAAGAUCACACCUCAGCACAACUCUGGAGAAGUAUGAUAUGAAGAGCAAAAGAAAAGCUUCCCUUUGGCCAACGGUAUCACUUCAACUUUGAGUUUCAAGAUUAUCAAAUCUUGUAUCCUUUAAGUCUGUUUGUAAAUUAUUUUUUUUUUGCGGGGGGGGGGGGUUACUCUUGAGCUGCUGGGAUUACAAGCCUGAACCACGGUGCCCUGCCUAUGUACAAAUUCUUACUGGAAAGUACCAGGUUUUUUAAAAAUAAUCAGCGCUUCUGGAACCUCCAUGUAUCUAGGGGUUACUUCUCCAUAAGGAAGAUGACAAACAGAAUCUUACCUCCUAAAGACUAACUUCCUGCCAGAAUGAUCCUAUGCUAUCACCAAACUAGCCAAGCAAAGACGUUUUAUUUAGAAUUAGCAAAAACUGAAUAGUACUAGAGUUGAAAAGAAGGUGAAAAUAGUUUGUCGAUGAAAACUAUUGGGAAAUCCAAAAUUACCCAUGUAUCUUUUCAUCUAUUACUUAUCUAUUUAUCUAUGAUCUCAUGAAUUAAAGACACAACUGUCUUUGUGGUACACACUUUUGAAAGUGUGCCUAUCUUCCUAUUGCACUCACUUUCCACAGUGGUUGUUUUCUUUACUUAGCACACAGAUAGGUGGUUCACACAGCUAGAUCUGGGUUCAAACUCAUAUGUUCCAUAUGUGCAAACACGUAUGUUCAAUAGGUUCUUGCCUUGUGUCUAUUGAACAGAACUGUUUCAUGUAAGGAGACAAAUGCAGACCCCAUAUGCCCCAAGCGCAAAACAAAUUUAGGAGGGAGGUAUUUAACAAAGAAAAGAAGAAAGGAAAAUGUACUACUUUAAAUGAUUUAGGUAAAGUUUUACAAUUGUAAAAAAUUCUAAGAGUCGGACAAUACAAUUCUAUCAAUUUAAAUUCUAUCUCCUUUUCUCAUGUAUAUAGUUGUCCCUCAGUAUUCUCUGAAGAUUUGUUCCAGAACCUCCACAGAUAUCAAAAUCACAGGUGGUUAAGACCUUUAUAUCAAAUGGCAUAGUAUUUGUAUAUAAGCUAUGCCCUCUUCUAAGCUUUAAAUCAUUUUUAGAUGACAUAAUAUUAGACAUAAUACAACUGCUAUGCAAACAGACUAUAUUGUUUAUGGAAUAAAAACAAGAAAUAAAAAGUCUGUACGUGUUUAGUAAAACCACAAUUUAAUAUGUAUGUAUUUUUCAAUCUGCAGUUGGUUGAUCCACAGAUACAGCAACCAUGUAUAGAGAAGACAGACUGUACAUAAUGAGUAUGAAAGGGUUUCUCUGGAAUAUAUUUCUAUAACUAAAGCAGGAUGCAGAACUCAGCCAGGACUUCUAAAAUGUAAGAAGAUGUCCUAAUGCUGAUCAUUGGUAAAGAAAACUCUACUAGUUGAGAUAGUCUUUUGAAGAUAAAAUAACACUGAUUAUAAUAAAAGUGGUUUUGUUUAAUUUAUGUACCCCUAAUUUUCUCCCUUUUUCUUAACCAAACUAAUGGCCAAAAUAAACUGAAGUCAACAUGGGCAGAGCAUUGAGAUGCCUUGAAGCGACUCCGGUUGCCAGGGGAACCCGCCAGAGUCUCCGAGUUUGCUAAGUGUGGCUGUUUCUGUGGUGUCAGAUAAACUACUAAAAUGCCGUGCACUAUUAUAUACGGAUAUAGAGCCUGGAUGAUAAACUCAGUAGGACUUAUGUCUGCUUGCCAUUCUACUCAAUACAAAUAGCUUCUAACUACAAGGAAUGCAUUUUAAAAAGCAAAAAAAUGUUGACAGAUUUUUAUUGGUUAAUGCUACCAAGCAUCUUAGGUGCUGAGCAGCUCUGGCAUUUCUGUCAGAGGACUAAAUAAGUCACCAGCCAACCAUGAUUUAUUUGCUUUCUUGUGGCUCUGUGGACAGACACAAAUGUGUGUCAAGUUGAAAGGAGCAGCCCUGUUUGCUUAAGACCCCAGGUUCAGCCACCACAGGACACUAAGCCAGGACGCAGCCAGUCUCAAAACAUAUUGCUAACAGGACCCAAGUGGCAGAAUUAAAGGCAGGCUGUGCAGUUGAAACAACAUCCAAGACAAAGUCAAUCUCUUCUCAAAGGGAAGGUGCACUCAGGCAUGAGAGAGAGAAUCUAAAUGUUCAAAAUUUUAUGAAUAAUUAAUUAAAAAUUAAAUAAAGGCAA